GCAGAACUCCAGCACAGUGACAGACUGUGCAGUGAAAUGUUCCUUGCUGGGCUGGAAAGUGAACUUCUCAGACCCUUGGAUAGAAAGGCAGAAACCAGCACUACACUGGUAGAAAACUACACUACACCAGCACUGAUUCCUGGAGAGAAACCUCCCCACUGCUCUGCUCGGCUGGGGACUACGAGCUGUGGAUUCUCACAGUUAAAAUGAGGGGAAUGCCAUGCUCGUCCAACCAGCAUGGAGCAGACGCCAAAGUUUCAGUGAUAGAAGGAAGAUCCCAGUGUGCCUCACCACCAUCCCUUGGGACAGACCAUCUUACACAACUUGCUGUGUCUAACACAGCGCAUGAAUGUGGUUUUACUCUUUAUAUCAUGAGGACUGUGUUCACGAGUUGACAACAACAGAUGUAACAGCUAGCUGCAUUUGCUUACCUUAUCGAAAGCUGUUGGGAUUUCUUUACAUAGUGCGUUGGUACUUCUGGAAAGGGCAGUCUGUGGAAUUCCAUUCUGGUGGCUCCCAGGAAGGUUGGAUUUCUGGUAGGACUGGGACCUGUGCAGUGCUCAUCUGCCACCCUUCAUCCUUCCAGGCAGAGGACAUGGAGGAAGAUGUUCAGAGUUUAAGAUACAGUCAAGUAGAUUUUGCACAAAAUGUACAUAUUUGUAGAGUUUGGCAUGAAAAUGAUGUAUUUCCCAUCCGUUCAAGUUUCUGUGGUGAUAGCAAAGUAAAUUAAUGUGACAGCUACCCGCAUUGCUACAGAAGUGUUGGUACCUUGCUGUGCAGUGCAGAUACAUUUUGUGUUCUUUGCAGUACGCUGAAAGCUUUGAAAGAGCGUUUAAUGCCACGUGCAUAGCAGUUUGUUGCAACGUAAUUGAGGAACCUGCUAUUAUGCCCCAUGGAUUGGAUUUAUACACUAGAUUCUGUGAAGGAUUUCUAGAUAUCUAAUCAGACAUUCAAGUUCAUUAUUUUCUGAUUUGAAUGCUUUUGUUGUUGUUGCUGUUCCGAAGUUAAAAGAGAGUUUCCUGUUGACUUGUAAUAUAACUGUCCUUAAAUUGUCCGUUCCCUGCCUUCUGUUCCUCUUAAAGCUAGCCUAAGGAAUAUGGGACUCCCAUAUUCCCAUAUUUCAGCAGAGCAGUGCUGCAAAUCAGCAUGCUGCAGCCCUGAGAGCAUCUUCUUGAUGAGGAGAACUGGAAGAUGGUCUUAAUUGUUCUGCUUAUAUUUUCAUGGGCUUUUUAGUCCCUUCGUGAGAUAGGAAAGGAAAAGAUGAGGCUGACCAGUGUAGUCUGUUAGAUGAUUUCUUUUUAAUUAUUAGGCUUCUACUCAAGGGACUGUACACAUAUAAAAGAUGAGAUUUAAGGGAUACUGAGAAAUUGUGAGACAGGAUUUCUAUGAGAGGCUUGAUCACAUCAGCAGUUCUGGGAUCUCUAUUGAGCUUGUCACCCAUAUGUCACACUGGCAGGUCACAUCGCCAGCCUGAUCCUGCAGCUCAGGUUUGCUGGAUUUUUGAGGAGAGACUGGAGAGACUCUGAAGGUUUAAUGUGUGGCCUGCUUUCCUUUAGGAAAGCCAAUACAUGACCCUGGGAGGCCCCUGACCAGCACCUCAGCGGGGAACAAAGUGGAGCUUGGAGGCUGCCUGGCCAUGCUGCUGUAUCUCGGACCUCCACUAGGGAGAACUGUGGUUGUAUGAAUGCUGGGAGGAGAAAUCAGUUCACCUUUUACAGUUGUUUUUUGUUGCUGUUGUUGUUUUGAAUGAAUGAAUGGUGGCCAAUUGCUGUGGCAGCUGUCUGCAGCUCAGGGAAAAGGUACGGAAAGUGCAGAUACUCCUUGUGCAGGAGGCAACAAAUGCCAGGUUGCAGACCCCUACCAGCAGGGCAGGAACCACCAGUUCUCUGUGCUUCUCACCCACGUCUUGAGCAGCACCCUGAGAGUCAACCUGGUCACGUUUCCCUGACCUUUCCUUGGUACUUCCUGGCUACAGUGGCAGUAACUGAGGGGAGAGGGAGAGUUUUGCUGUUUCCCCAUCUGGGUCUGAUGGACUAGUAUUACUCUAAUGAAGAAUUCUUUCCCACCACCCAGCAACGUUAGUGAGCGUUCACCUUGCCAACGGGAUAAAUAUACAUCCCUUUAAACUAUCACUACGGGAGAGUGCUGCAUUUGGGGCAUCUUUUGGAGCAUUUGUUUGUGAUCCUUCACCCUUUCCGUCCCCCUGGGAGCAGCUUUCCCAGCUGUGGAGGAGGAAGUGGUCUUCUCUGUCUCCCUGGGGAAUGGAAGCCAGGCAGAGUUCAGGGGGAAAGAAAGUAGUAACAGCUAAAUUUGGAAAUCUGGUGUGAAAAUUAAAUACAGUUAAAUACAUUUUUGUCCUUGAAAACUGGGGAGGAGGAAGGAAGAUGCCUGAAUGCAGCCUUUCUACUGAGCCUCAGAGGCAUAACAACAAGUAUUCUGCAGGGCAGGGCUUGUUCCAGAAAGGCUGAACGACAGAGAUCUGACUCCUUCCAGUUACGAGGUGUCACACUUCAUUCUUAGCCACACUGAAGUAGGAAGGAACGUAGAUAAUUUGGCCUGGAAUCUUACAUAUGCCGGUAUGAGAUUCAGUAAAAACUUAUAAUUUGGGCCAGUUGCUGCUUCUCGGUGUUUUUAUGCUCACUGUUAUCAUCUUUAUCUGUACUGAGGGUACGGAGCAGAGUGUUUGCAUUCAUCAUACAUUCAUCCUACAAAAUGAAAUACUGAUGCUUAGUCUGGGAUUUCCUGCUUGCGUUAUUGCUGAGUGUAUAUAAUAUUUGACAUAAAAUAGCAAAUAAGUGCUCAGUAUAUUUAAAGUACAAAUUAGAGCUUUCCCUUUUUAGAAAGACGAUACUCGCUCUACAGAACUCACCUUAUAAGAGGAGCUGAAAUGUAUAUUUUGUCAAAGCUAAACAUGUAGAACGUUUCGCCAGAUGUGCUUUAGGCAGUUUCCUUUCCUGGGAAACAGCAAAUUCCCUUACUCAGCCAAUCCUGCUUUUAUUCCAUACAGCACACGACUAAGCUGCUUGGAGAGAGAUGCCUGGAUACCGCUAACAUUAUCUUUCCAAUUAUCAUUUACUUACAGCUGCGCAGCUUCUGUUUGACAGGCAAAUGCAGAGAUCUUGUGAGACCUCCGAUAGGAAAGGAAGUAUUAGAUUUUUCUGAGGAAAUAUCAGAAAACGUUUACUUUAGGCUAUAUCUGCAGACUUUGCCACCUAAAACAUCUGAAGUGUUGAUUUAGUAGAUAAGCAAGUUCUCGUUUCAGCAAUUCUCAUGUUUUAACAGGGGAAAAAUAGUAACAAAAUAAGGGCAAAAUAAAGGCACGACAAGGAGAACAAGUCGUUUUUGGUGUCGCAUUCUUACAGGGAUGCUUUAUUUACAUGUGAAACCAAAAACUCUGUAGUGUGUGAAAGUGGACCUGCAAAAUCAGGUCUGAGGUGAAACAUUUUCUGCAGCUUGGAAUAAAUCAAUAAAGUAUUUUAUAUAUUC